UUAGUGCUGCAGCUAACGCAUUAAGCACUCCGCCUGGGGAGUACGGUCGCAAGACUGAAACUCAAAGGAAUUGACGGGGGCCCGCACAAGCGGUGGAGCAUGUGGUUUAAUUCGAAGCAACGCGAAGAACCUUACCAGGUCUUGACAUCCUCUGACAACCCUAGAGAUAGGGCUUUCCCUUCGGGGACAGAGUGACAGGUGGUGCAUGGUUGUCGUCAGCUCGUGUCGUGAGAUGUUGGGUUAAGUCCCGCAACGAGCGCAACCCUUGAUCUUAGUUGCCAGCAUUCAGUUGGGCACUCUAAGGUGACUGCCGGUGACAAACCGGAGGAAGGUGGGGAUGACGUCAAAUCAUCAUGCCCCUUAUGACCUGGGCUACACACGUGCUACAAUGGACAGAACAAAGGGCUGCAAGACCGCAAGGUUUAGCCAAUCCCAUAAAUCUGUUCUCAGUUCGGAUCGCAGUCUGCAACUCGACUGCGUGAAGCUGGAAUCGCUAGUAAUCGCGGAUCAGCAUGCCGCGGUGAAUACGUUGCCCGGGCCUUGUACACACCGCCCGUCACACCACGAGAGUUUGCAACACCCGAAGUC
rnacentral:rRNA from 1 species